UCAGCUGAGGCUGUCACGGUGAAGGAAUUUCCACUGCAAUAUGCUUUAUUAUUAUCUUUUCAGUUUUGCAAAUGACUGCUUUGAUCCUGAUUUUAGUGCCGUAUAAGUAAGCGUUAUUGUUAGGUUGUCAUUAGGUAUAGUGCUGCUUUUUAAGAUGACAGUUUUAAAACAAAUUCAAUAAUUAGUUUAUCGUUAAAUGCAGAACACAGAAGGGCAACGAGGAGCAGCGUUUUUUUACCGCUGAUAUUCUUUGGUCGCGUCUGGUUGCGAUGAUACGGAAGUAGAAAUAUGGGCACAAGGUGGCAUACUUCCUGUGGAUGAAGGGAAGGCUGGAGCACGUAGAGAGAGAGGACGGACCUGCCGGUCUAUCUGGAGUCAUUUCUCCUCCAUUGUUGUUGUCGUCCACUGACAGUGACGAGCGGAGUGUUUUACCCAAAGUUGAACAUUUAUGAACUCAGCGACCAGAAAAAAACCCACCAAACGUGCAGCGUUCAGAGCCGUAUAGACGCUCAGCGCCUCGUUAAACUGCCGCCUUUUGUAGCAUGAUGUAAAUAUGCGGCGCUCCGGUUGCUAAUAACUAAAAAAAUUAUAAAAAACAUGA